rnacentral:rRNA from 1 species
UACGGAGGGUGCAAGCGUUAUCCGGAUUCACUGGGUUUAAAGGGUGCGUAGGUGGAUUAGUAAGUCAGUGGUGAAAUCCCCGGGCUCAACCCGGGAACUGCGUCCGAUACUGGAAGGCUUGAAUCCGGGAGAGGGAUGCGGAAUUCCAGGUGUAGCGGUGAAAUGCGUAGAUAUCUGGAGGAACACCGGUGGCGAAGGCGGCAUCCUGGACCGGCAUUGACGCUGAGGCGCGAAAGCCAGGGGAGCAAAGCGGG